CGGCGGCCUCGUGCAGCACAAGCUCAGGCUGUGGUUUCAAGCUGGAGGGUGCUUUCGGGACUUCGGUGGGAAGCACCGCCAGGCUUGACCCACACAGCUUGGGACCAGUCAUCCGGGACUGCC
rnacentral:pre_miRNA from 12 species